UGGCUGUAGAACUGAGCCACUUCAGCAGGAAGCCAAGAGCAGCACUGCUAGGCCGAAGCCCCUGACACUGCAGCCACUGCCACUGCCACCCUUGGGUGUCAAUAGCACUGUCACAACUGCCUGAGACACCACCAGAGGCCAGCAGGGAGGAACUAUCCAGGCUUUUGGCAGUGCCUCCUCUUCACAGAACCUCACUGAAAGCCUGUUGGAGGGCGUCUGGGAAAUGCAGCAUGUGGAGUCUCACCCUGCUAUGCUAGAGCAGAGCAAAGAAGGCUGGGAACACAGCUGACAGCGAGUAGGCAAAUGAUCAGCGCAGUUCUGGGGGCUGGGAAGAUCGAGGAACCUGCAUGUUCAGUGUCUGAUCAUCUGACUUCAACAACCAACUCUGCAUGAGAACUAGAAAAUGCAAGGAUUUCUAUAGGUCUCUAUGGUGACUGUAUUAGUAUCCCAAGGUCCAAGGGCAUUUGCUACCAAAUUAUUACUAAGCCUCCUACAAAGCAAGGUCUCCACUACUCCUUUGCUCAAGCAUGGUGACUCUAACCUUUGCAUUCACGGAUGCGGCUGGCAGGAUGCCCCGUGGGCUCAAACCAUUUCCAUAAAGUACACGUGCAAAGCCCCUGCUGAGAGACACCAGGAACAUCUUUCAAGGCUCUCAGCUCCAGCUUCUUCUUUCAAAAUGCACAAGGCUUCUCAACUAGUUCCUGUCUAGCCAGGCUGCUCAUUUCUUUACAGUCACUGAACCAGAAUAACCACAAAUCAAGCCGGAAGCACAUGAUAACCCGCUGAACUCCGCACAGCCCUGGCUGGGCUUCUCUGAGUGAAUAAACGCUGCCCUGGUCUCCGCAGCUGUGAAAUAUCCAGUGAGCAUCCAGCUGCGGGUUAGUUACUUCCACAGUCAGAGAAGGAAAGAAGAAAAUAAGAGUGACAGAUGCACAGAACCACGGACAUUCGAGACUGUCAUAGCUGUUCACAGUUGUUAAAGAUUUACAGGCAAGCCGUUUGGAGUUUAAAUGUGAGAUGACACCAGGGGCCUCUAAUGUACAGUGGAGCUUUAAGCAUGAUAUGGGGGCAGAAAAUGGUCUGGGAACCCCCUUCUCUGAGAUCUUAGAAGUUCUGUUCUAUUGACUCCAGGCAGGGCUGCAGCCACGGUGCACUUCAUGGACUCAUAAAUAUAACAUUAUUGGACAAAAAAACCCCAAUCCUUCUCUGACUGAUUAGGCCCAGAUUGGUCAGCCCAUAAAUCAAUGCUGAAUAAGAGCUAUAAAGUUGUGAAUCAAUGUGUCCCAGAUCUCCAAACUGGAAUGAAAAAG